CAAGGGAGGAGGACUGGCUCCUGAGCUGGAAGGUAGCACCUUAGACAGAGCAGUGCUGGGGAAAGGCAGAAGGAGCUGGGGAGCUCUGGCCAAGGAAAACCCCAGGCUGCCAGCCUAGGCCAGGCAGGUGCAUAGGGCCAAUGGGGAGGUGUCCCAGGAACAAUAGCAGGGUAAGGGGAGAGAAGGAGGGCAGAGAGGCUGCUGCUAGAGGGUCCCUGGGUUGGGACCCAGAGUAGUGGGUGGGCCUUGGUCCCCCCCUUCCCCUUGUGCUACACCUGGCUGAAGAGGAGUGUGGCCUGAUCCAGGCUGUGGCAAGAGGCUAGACUUAAAGGCUGCAGCUGGCCACUUCAGCAGGUGCAGAUUGUGGACUGCUGGUAACACCAAGCCCCUGGAAGGGGGUGAGACUAGAGCAAUGGGUGCUGCGGAGAGCAGUGUCCUGGAGUGGAUGUUGCUGAGCAGGGAGAAGUGUGGGUCCAGAUGGCGAGAGACAGAUGGGAGACCGCUGACAGAGGGUGCCCUGCAAUGGGCAGAGCUAAUUCCUGAUGUGCCAGCAGGAGGCACAGCAGUGGGAGGAACAUUUAUUCUGAAAUGGAAUGCCCAAGAUAGUUCUUCACUCAGAAGGUCAUUUUGCUGUCUUCUCAGAGCCAGGAUCUCAUGAGGAAAAACCUUGAUCGCAAGAUUUCAUGUGCAUCUGAACUCUAGCACCACAGAUCCAAUAACGGGAUGCCCAGAAGCAACACAGCAAUGAAAAAUUACAGGUGAUAAGGCAGGAUUAGAAGAAGUAGACAGGCUGCUUGAUGUCUUCAGCAUCUCUAAUCCAAGGAACCCAUUCUCAGCUAAAGAAAUUGUGCACAGUUCCACUGCAAUCAAUGGCCCGAUCCUCUGCUGGCGGUUUGAAUGGAACGACGCCUGCUCACAUGAGCUGUAAAUCUCUACCCAGCCUUCUCCUUGUCCCAGUGAAACGUUUCCUUGUUCAUCCAUCUAUGCCUGCUCAUCCUUGCUGCACCAGCUUCUUCAUCCCCCACUGAGCUACCACUUAAUUGCUUCCAUGAGAUGUCAGCUGGAUGAAGCCUGCUCUAUUUAAAUGGCAUUCCUAAUCUCGGCCAACUUUGUGGGUUACACCCCCCCUGAACCAAGACUCCCUCUCCAUUAUUUCCUUAAUGGUUUCAUUCAUUAAUGAGAUCGCUUAAUUGCACUUAGCUUUAUUCCCUGUCACCACUACGUCAAAAAGGAAAGGAGAGUCAUUAAUCAUGCUCAGUGCUUUUGUCCCUCGCAGAGACAGAAUCUGAUAGAAAGCUAUGAAGAGGUCACAGGCUGCAAGGAAAAAUCACCUAAUAAAGAUAUAUCUGAAGCAUGUUCUUCCCCCACCCUGAAAGCUGAAAUCCAUGUGUUACGCUGUAAUGCCAGCAGCACUAUAAUUAAAGGGCUUCUGUUUCA